GCACCGUUGGUGAAGGGGUAUCAUAGUUGCCUUCCAUUACAAAAUGUUAGCAACUGGGAAGGGUUCGAGUCCCUUACGGCGCA